GUUUGCACUGAGAGACGUGUUGUUGUUUGCACUGAGAGACGUGUUGUUGUUUGACCUCAAAGACGUGUUGUUGUUUCCUCUGAGAGACGUGUUGUUGUUUGCACUGAGAGGUGUUGUUGUUUGCCCUGAGAGACGUGUUGUUGUUUGACCUGAGAGGUGUUGUUGUUUGCUCUGAGAGACGUGUUGUUGUUUGCCCUGAGAGGUGUUGUUGUUUGCUCUGAGAGACGUGUUGUUGUUUGCACUGAGACGUGUUGUUGUUUGCUCUGAGAGACGUGUUGUUGUUUGCCCUGAGAGGUGUUGUUGUUUGCCCUGAGAGACGUGUUGUUGUUUGCCUCAUUAGUCACGAAUGAGACACCUGAGCCUCUACUCAACCACAGCACAUAUGCACGC
ensembl:lncRNA